rnacentral:rRNA from 1 species
GACGAACGCUGGCGGCGUGCUUAACACAUGCAAGUCGAGCGGAAAGGCCCUGCUUUUGUGGGGUGCUCGAGUGGCGAACGGGUGAGUAACACGUGAGUAACCUGCCCUUGACUUUGGGAUAACUUCAGGAAACUGGGGCUAAUACCGGAUAGGAGCUCCUGCUGCAUGGUGGGGGUUGGAAAGUUUCGGCGGUUGGGGAUGGACUCGCGGCUUAUCAGCCUGUUGGUGGGGUAGUGGCUUACCAAGGCUUUGACGGGUAGCCGGCCUGAGAGGGUGACCGGCCACAUUGGGACUGAGAUACGGCCCAGACUCCUACGGGAGGCAGCAGUGGGGAAUAUUGCACAAUGGGCGGAAGCCUGAUGCAGCAACGCCGCGUGCGGGAUGACGGCCUUCGGGUUGUAAACCGCUUUCGCCUGUGUCGAAGCGUGAGUGACGGUAAUGGGUAAAGAAGCACCGGCUAACUACGUG